rnacentral:misc_RNA from 1 species
AAAAUGCACUACUUUUGGAGGAUCUGAUUCGCACUCAAUAACAUUUUUGAAGAGUCCGUGCAACUUAGUUCUUCCAGAAACUGAAACUGCUUCAAUCAAACCAAAUAGUAAUGCUACACAUUCAAGGCAUGCACCUGUAUUUGGCUACUUGACAGAUUUGAAAAGAGAGGAGCAUUAUGGAUAUUUCACCUUUCUGUGGCUAAGUUCUAGUAAAAUUCAAAGACACAAAUCCUUUAGGCCCGAGCAACUAUCAAUCAUACUUUAUAUGAUACAUUUUCUAUCAUGAGACAUGCUGAGAUGUUUACCACCAUUUAAUUAUUUUAUUUUUUGCAAUUCAAAA